GAUCCAUGGGAUGGGAUGGGAUCCAUGGGCUGGGAUCCAUGGGGUGGGAUCCAUGGGAUGGGAUGGGAUGGGAUCCAUGGGAUGGGAUCCAUGGGAUGGGAUGGGAUCCACGGGAUGGGAUCCAUGGGAUGGCCCGGCGGGAUCCGGCGCGGAGCCGCUGACGCCGUGGCUGUGGCAGGUACGUGGAUUACCCCAUCUACGACGUGCUGCAGAUGGUCGGCCACGCCAACCGCCCGCUGCAGGACGACGAGGGCCGCUGCGUCAUCAUGUGCCAGGGCUCCAAGAAGGUGGGGGAGGCAGCCGGGGACAUUCCCGGGAUUUCAGCCGGGAUUCUCCUGCUCCAGCUGCCGGAUGAGCCUCACUCGGGGCUGGGAUGGGAUCCCUGGGAUCCAAACCCUCCCUCAGGGCUGGGAUCACCACGGGGACCACCCAGACCCUCCCGGGGCGCCACACUGGGAAUUCCCGCGGCGUCUGUGGGAUGAAUCCCUGAAUUCUCUCCCUCUUCCCGCCCGUCCUGCCCCAGGAUUUCUUCAAGAAGUUCCUGUACGAGCCGCUGCCGGUGGAGUCGCACCUGGACCACUGCAUGCACGACCACUUCAACGCCGAGAUCGUCACCAAGACCAUCGAGAACAAGCAGGACGCCGUGGAUUACCUGACCUGGACCUUCCUGUACCGCAGGAUGACCCAGAACCCCAACUACUACAACCUGCAAGGUGGGAAUGGGAGCUGCGGGGGGAUCUGGGGUGGUUAUGGUGGUGGCAGUCCUGUCCUGUCCCAUCCUGUCCCUGUUCUCAUGGAUCCAGUCCCAUCCCAUGGAUCCCAUCCCACCCCUGUUCCUGUCCUUGUUCCCAUCCCAUGGAUCCCAUCCCAGUUCUCAUGGAUCCCAUCCCAGCCCUGUUCCCAUCCUUAUUCCCCCCCUAUUCAUCCCAUCCCUAUUCCCAUGGAUCCCAUGGAUCCCAUCCCAUCCCAUCCCAUGGAUCCCAUCCCAUCCCAUGGAUCCCAUCCCAUGGAUCCCAUCCCAUGGAUCCCAUCCCAUGGAUCCCAUCCCAUGGAUCCCAUCCCAU
rnacentral:lncRNA from 1 species